rnacentral:rRNA from 1 species
CCUACGGGAGGCAGCAGUGGGGAAUAUUGCACAAUGGGCGCAAGCCUGAUGCAGCCAUGCCGCGUGUGUGAAGAAGGCCUUCGGGUUGUAAAGCACUUUCAGCGGGGAGGAAGGCGGUGAGGUUAAUAACCUCAUCGAUUGACGUUACCCGCAGAAGAAGCACCGGCUAACUCCGUGCCAGCAGCCGCGGUAAUACGGAGGGUGCAAGCGUUAAUCGGAAUUACUGGGCGUAAAGCGCACGCAGGCGGUCUGUCAAGUCGGAUGUGAAAUCCCCGGGCUCAACCUGGGAACUGCAUUCGAAACUGGCAGGCUAGAGUCUUGUAGAGGGGGGUAGAAUUCCAGGUGUAGCGGUGAAAUGCGUAGAGAUCUGGAGGAAUACCGGUGGCGAAGGCGGCCCCCUGGACAAAGACUGACGCUCAGGUGCGAAAGCGUGGGGAGCAAACAGGAUUAGAUACCCUAGUAGUG